rnacentral:rRNA from 1 species
AGUGAACGCUGGCGGUAGGCCUAACACAUGCAAGUCGAACGGCAGCACAGUAAGAGCUUGCUCUUACGGGUGGCGAGUGGCGGACGGGUGGGGAAUACAUCGGAAUCUACUUUUUCGUGGGGGAUAACGUAGGGAAACUUACGCUAAUACCGCAUACGACCUACGGGUGAAAGCAGGGGAUCUUCGGACCUUGCGCGAUUGAAUGAGCCGAUGUCGGAUUAGCUAGUUGGCGGGGUAAUGGCCCACCAAGGCGACGAUCCGUAGCUGGUCUGAGAGGAUGAUCAGCCACACUGGAACUGAGACACGGUCCAGACUCCUACGGGAGGCAGCAGUGGGGAAUAUUGGACAAUGGGCGCAAGCCUGAUCCAGCCAUACCGCGUGGGUGAAGAAGGCCUUCGGGUUGUAAAGCCCUUUUGUCGGGAAAGAAAAGCAGCAGGUUAAUACCCCGCUGUUCUGACGGUACCCAAAGAAUAAGCACCGGCUAACUUCGUG